AGAUGCUGGAAGGAAAAGAACAAGAUUGAUUGAUGAAGUCCAGGAAAAGUUGCUGUCUAUUGGGUAGGUCCUAUAUUAGGAGGUGUAACAGCUGGUCUCCUUUACCAACAUAUACUUGCUUGUCCACCACCAGAACCUGAAAACCUGGAGAGGCUAAAACUCCAAAGUUUGCUCAAAAUAAGAGAAAAAGAACUAAUAACUGAUCGCACAACGUGUAUUUAAUUUGCUUCGGAAAACUUUCAUUGCUUGCAUUUAUUUACACAUACAUAUAUAUUUUUUAGUUCUGUUAAGUUGUCGUUUCCACUUCUCAAAAUAACGGCUGUUUGAUAACAUGUGUUUCCCCCCUUUUUUGGGUUUAGGUGUAUCAUUUGUUACUUCAGUAUUCAAACGCAUUUUAUGUUUUCUUCCUACUGUAGAAUAAUAAAUGUUUAUGUUUUAGUUUCGAAAAA